CCUACGGGUGGCUGCAGUCGGGAAUAUUGCUCAAUGGGGGAAACCCUGAAGCAGCAACGCCGCGUGGAGGAUGAAGGUUUUCGGAUUGUAAACUCCUUUCGUUAGGGAAGAUAAUGACGGUAUCUAACGAAUAAGCACCGGCUAACUACGUGCCAGCAGCCGCGGUAAUACGGAGGGUGCAAGCGUUACACGGAUUCACUGGGCGUAAAGAGCGCGUAGGCGGGAGAGGAAGUCAGUUGUGAAAUCCUAGGGCUUAACCAUAGAACUGCAUUUGAAACUGUUAGUCUGGAGUAUGGGAGAGGUAAGUGGAAUUCUUGGUGUAGGGGUGAAAUGCGUAGAGAUCAGGAGGAAUACUAAUGGCGAAGGCGACCUGCUAGAACGUAACUGACGCUGAGGCGCGAAAGCGUGGGGAGCAAACAGGAUUAGAUACCCGGGUAGUC
rnacentral:rRNA from 1 species